GCAAACAAAGCGGGGAAGAUUCAGCAUUCACCACUCACCGGUGAGGUGAAGGUCUCUGCGCAAUCGCGAGUUGAGUGUUGGGUUCGUCUCUACACAGAAACAUGAACAACUUCCACAAAGCUUUAGCGGACAUUCAGCGGGGCUUCUCUACGCUGCUUCAAAACCUCACCCAUCCCCACCCAUCCCUUCACAAGCCAAGCCCACCCUGGGCCCGCAUAGCGCAAACGGCGGGGGCCCGGCCCAUGUCGGUGGAGGCAAUCGAGGAACGGUUGGAGGGCAUACCCGUUUACGCGCUGAGCAAUGCUUCCGAUGAGUUCUUGUUGGUUUCGGGUGCUUCCACCAGCAAGAACCUUGGCCUCUUCUGCUUCAACAAAGACGACGCUGAGGCUCUUCUUCAACAGGUUACUCUUAUCGAUCCCCAAGCGCGUCAGGGUUCCAAAGUCGUUCCUGUUGCCUUGAACAAGGUAUUUCAACUCAAGGUGAAUGGCGUUGCCUUUAGAUUGAUUCCCGAGUUCUCUCAAGUAAAGAAUGCCCUUCGAGAGAGGGAAAAUUCUGGUCUUCCUUCCAGUGGCUUUUCUGGUGUUCCAGUUUUCCAGUCCAGGAGUCUAUUACUGAAGAACCAGGAUAAGAGAUAUCGUCCACUUUUCUUCAGAAAGGAGGACCUAGAAAAUACACUUCAAUUGACAGCCCGCGAGCAGAACAAAUUAAAUCCUGCUUUUAGACAGGGGGAUAUCCAGGUUGCCACUCUAGAGGAUGUAAUAAAAGAAAUGAAGGAAAGUUCUACAUCGAACUGGGAUGAUGUUAUUUUUAUACCUCCUGGAUUUGAUGUUUCAGCUGACGCCAAUCAGCAAUAGGGCGGGAUGAUGAUCAUUCAUGUCAACUUUUAUUCUUCUGAAAUCUGAAUUGUCACGAACCACUCUGAGAUGCAUCAAGUGAUGGUGAGUUUGCUAUUGAUUGAAUUUGGGGCAGCGGUAAGAUCUCACAUGGUAAUUAUCUCUGACCUUGUUUAUUUCAGAAAAUUGUUCUUCACCAAGUUUGAACUCUCAACAUUAGAUUGCGUUUGACAAUGAACAAACCCUGUUGAAUUUCCCACAUUGUGACUUCACUUUUUAGUGCAAAGGUUGCAGGUAGUUCUGCUAAGAAUUCUUUUGCCAGAUGUUACCCUUCUCAACUUGACUCAUGAGAAGGAAAUAUUGUCACAUCUUUAAUUUGGUUCAUAGUGAAAUGAUCUCUUUUCAAUUAAAUGGAAAUUAACUUCGAGACACGACUAAUUUCAAAGGCCAAGUGAUUAAAAAAGUUGUUGUGCUGAGGUCUCUUGGUGCGAACAUGCCAUAUGAUAUGUCUGAUUUAAAUAAAAAGUAAUAUUUUCAUUAAAAGUGACUUUGUUAAUUUUGAGUUAAUUUUAACUAUCUAAAAAAAUAUUUUUAUUGAAAAAGAUAAAAAAAAUUAUACUUGAUGUAAUAUAAUUUUUUCUAGAAAAAGUUACUUUUUAAUCAAUUAAAAUCAACGAUUAAGAUUAACAUUUGAAAAAAAAAUGUUGAAGUUUUAAAUUGAUAACUUAAAGGGAUACGUUAAGAAAAGGUCAUAUUUUAGGAAGGUAAAACGUAGUUUACUAAAUGGCAAAUAUUGAAAAUCUUUUACCGUAUUUUGUCUGAAUGUGGUCUCAUUUAAUUUUCGGUCAAGUUUCUGCUAUUUCGCUUAAUCUUUCAAGUGGUCUGUCUCAUUGUAAUUUUGAACUUCUCUAGUGUAACUUAACCGCAAAGCACAAUUAGAAACGAUAUUUUAUUAAUUCAAAACUGUCAAGGGAAUUCCUAUAGAGUACAGUUGUCGUGGAAUUGUUUGCUGCAGGAAAAAAGAUAUUUUACCCUAAAAUUUCAGGAAAACACAAUCUUCCUUGGUACCAUCAAUAACUUCAAAUCGACAAUAGCCUUACGGAACAGGGAAGUGGGCUACAAGUCAAUGGCGAAAAGACGAGCUAGGGGAAAAAUCAUUGAAAUCACGCGUUUGAUGUGAGAAGAACUGGAGAGAGAGAGAGAGUCCCCAUCCAUCCCAAAGGAUUACCUCUUACAUUUACAUAGUACCAUUCAUUCAUAUCUUGGACCCACCUCAGCCAUGCACGACGUGACGCUGCGCUUGCAUGAUUGAUGGAUUUUCAUUUGGUUUGGUUGCAAUAUCCUGUGUAGAGGUCUCUUUCUAUUCAGAUCAAACAAAAAUUUGCUCAUCAAUUACUAAUACAAUUAUGACAUGCAUGCAUCCACCCAUUAAUAUUAAUAAUAGCAACAACAUGCAUGCAUGGUUUUUGAUUUGAGCGAUUCAACUUCUCAUUUCGUACCCUUUAUUAUCACUGUAUGUGCUGUAUAUAUAUUGGCAUAUAUUAAAAACAUUUUUUCUCUGUGU